rnacentral:rRNA from 1 species
UACGUAGGGAGCAAGCGUUGUCCGGAAUCAUUGGGCGUAAAGCGCACGUAGGUGGCCUGUUAAGUCGGGUGUGAAAUCCCUGGGCUCAACCCAGGAAGUGCACUCGAAACUGGCAGGCUUGAGUACUGAAGAGGAUCGCGGAAUUCCCGGUGUAGAGGUGAAAUUCGUAGAUAUCAGGAGGAACACCGGUGGCGAAGGCGGGUCUCUGGGCCGAUACUGACGCUGAGGAGCGAAAGCGUGGGGAGCGAACAGG